rnacentral:rRNA from 1 species
UGGGGAAUAUUGCACAAUGGGCGCAAGCCUGAUGCAGCAACGCCGCGUGAACGAUGAAGGUCUUCGGAUCGUAAAGUUCUGUUGCAGGGGAAGAUAAUGACGGUACCCUGCGAGGAAGCCCCGGCUAACUACGUGCCAGCAGCCGCGGUAAUACGUAGGGGGCUAGCGUUAUCCGGAUUUACUGGGCGUAAAGGGUGCGUAGGUGGUCCUUCAAGUCGGUGGUUAAAGGCUACGGCUCAACCGUAGUAAGCCGCCGAAACUGGAGGACUUGAGUGCAGGAGAGGAAAGUGGAAUUCCCAGUGUAGCGGUGAAAUGCGUAGAUAUUGGGAGGAACACCAGUAGCGAAGGCGGCUUUCUGGACUGCAACUGACACUGAGGCACGAAAGCGUGGGUAGCAAACAGG